GACGAACGCUGGCGGCGUGCCUAAUACAUGCAAGUCGAACGAGAGCGACCGGUGCUUGCACUGGUCAAUCUAGUGGCGAACGGGUGAGUAACACGUGGGUAACCCGCCCAUCAGAGGGGGAUAACAUCCGGAAACGGAUGCUAAAACCGCAUAGGUCUUCGAACCGCAUGGUUUGAAGAGGAAAAGAGGCGCAAGCUUCUGCUGAUGGAUGGACCCGCGGUGCAUUAGCUAGUUGGUGAGGUAACGGCUCACCAAGGCCGUGAUGCAUAGCCGACCUGAGAGGGUGAUCGGCCACAUUGGGACUGAGACACGGCCCAAACUCCUACGGGAGGCAGCAGUAGGGAAUCUUCCGCAAUGGACGCAAGUCUGACGGAGCAACGCCGCGUGAGUGAAGAAGGUUUUCGGAUCGUAAAACUCUGUUGUUAGAGAAGAACAAGUGCUAGAGUAACUGUUAGCGCCUUGACGGUAUCUAACCAGAAAGCCACGGCUAACUACGUG
rnacentral:rRNA from 1 species